GUAAGGAAUAUUGGUCAAUGGACGAAAGUCUGAACCAGCCAUGCCGCGUGGAGGAUGAAGGUCCUCUGGAUUGUAAACUUCUUUUAUAUGGGACGAAAAAAGGCUUUUCUAAGUCGUCUGACGGUACCAUAUGAAUAAGCACCGGCUAACUCCGUGCCAGCAGCCGCGGUCAUACGGAGGGUGCAAGCGUUAUCCGGAUUCACUGGGUUUAAAGGGUGCGUAGGUGGAUUGGCAAGUCCGUGGUGAAAUCUUCGAGCUUAACUCGGAAACUGCCAUGGAUACUGGUGAUCUUGAAUAUCGUGGAGGUUAGCAGAAUAUGUCAUGUAGCGGUGAAAUGCUUAGAUAUGACAUAGAACACCAAUUGCGAAGGCAGCUGGCUACGCGAAUAUUGACACUCAGGCACGAAAGCGUGGGGAUCAAACAGGAUUAGAUACCCGUGUAGUCC
rnacentral:rRNA from 1 species